GAUGAACGCUGGCGGCGUGCCUAAUACAUGCAAGUAGAACGCAGAAGGAGGAGCUUGCUCUUCUGGAUGAGUUGCGAACGGGUGAGUGACGCGUAGGUAACAUGCCUGGUAGCGGGGGAUAACUAUUGGAAACGAUAGCUAAUAUCGCAUGACAACAGUUAUUGCACGAUAACUGAUUAAAAGGGGCAGCUGCUCCACUACUAGAUGGAGCGGCGUGGUAUUAGCUAGUUGGUGAGUUAACGGCUCACCAAGGCGACGAUACGUAGCCGCCCUGGGAGGUGAACGGCCACCCUUGGACUUGGACACCGGCCCAACUCCUUACGGGGGCAGCCAGUAGGAAUCCUCGGCCAUUGACCGAAGUCCUACCGGGGCACCCCGCGUUGGUGAAUAAGGUUUUCCGAUCGUAAAGCCCUUUUUAUAGGGAAGAACGAGUUGUGUAGGUGAAAGUUCACGCUGUGACGGUACCUUACCAGAAAGGGACGGCUAACUACGUG
rnacentral:rRNA from 1 species